AACAAACGCAACAUGUCACGAUUUGAAGACAUAACAGAGCAAUAUCUUCACAUCUUGCUUGAAAAUCGGGAUUCUGUAAGCACAAGGAAUGUGAUCAAGGGUGCAGUUAGUGUGCUGCGGAAUUAUUGUUCUGAGAAAAGUGUAGAUUUUCCUGCAGAAGAUGUUGAUACAGGCGAUCUUGACAAAAUGUUGUGCAAAUUUUACCCUGCUGGCAGGAAAACGGACGGCCAGUUGUACACGAAGAAAUCCAUGCUAUCAAUCAGGUACGGAUUGCAGAAACGUUUUGAAAAACUUCUCUCAGUUGACAUUGUGAAUGACAAGGAAUUCUUUGCUUCAACACGCAUUUUCCUGGCUAUGCUCGUGAAACUGAAACAGGAAACAAAGUCCCGGGUCAACCAUAAAGAACCAUUAUGUCAACAGGAUUUACAAAUGCUGUACAAUUUCUUUGAUGUCUCUUCGCCCUCAGAUCUUCAAAAUAAAGUGUUUGUGGACUUUAAACUGUACUUUUGCAAUAGGGGUAGAGAAAACAUUCGUGAUAUCAAGGUUAUAGACUUCAUAUUCUAUGAACAUGAACUGUACAUUGAUCUGCGUGACAUGGUUACAAAAAACCACAAGGGUGAAUGUAAAGAUGGUACCAGCCAGGGUGGUCGGAUAAACAGGACAGGAAUUCAUUAUGUCCUUACAGUUCCUCAGUUCCUUUGUAAGAUACAUGUCAGUUUUGAACAAAAACUGUGACAUCUUCUUUCAACUUUUCAUUUCCAAAAAGUCCAAACAUACAGAUGAUGCAUAGUUUGAUGCAGCCCCUUAUUGGAAAGAACACUCUUGGGGAUAAAAUGAAAUCUCUUCGAUAAAGGCUAAACUUUCCUGAGUUUACACCAAUCACUGCUUGCGAGCUACUUCAAUUACUCUCCUGGAUGGCUUUGAGGCCCACCAUGUGAUGACUAUUUCUGGACACAAGUCGGAGAGUAGUAUCCGCAGCUAUGCCCGAACUAGCGCAGAUCAGAAGGAAAAGAUGGCACGCACCCUAGCAGAAGCCAUAUCUGGAAAGGCUGGCCAGUUUGAUCGUGAUCAUACGGGCAAUACACAUGUUCCAGCUGAGCACAACACUGCAGUACCAAGCAGCAGCGUCGGUGAUAUAGAUGUCGGUAAUAUCGACUUCCUGGAGUUAACAGCGUCACAGGAAAAUUGCUUAGUGAGUGCCAUUCACACAGUGCAAGAUAUCCAGACUGUUCCCACGGUUGCUCCAGGUACAUCUACAAUUCAACAACAAGGUGAACCUAAGUUACCCAUUGGUACCUUCAAUCACAGUGACAGGCGGGAGCUUGUCCAGCAGUCUAGUUACAGGGCUCCAGUGUAUUAUUUCAACUCAUUCUCAAUGACAAUUAAUCACAACUAGUGUGUGAAGCUGGAUCAGCCAAGUGUGAGAACAAUUAUCUAUUUGUGACUGUUAACAGUGUUACUUUGACUUCAUUAUCACUUUCAUUUUGCGCUGGAAUAUUGAAAGACAGACAUGUUGAUUCUGUUGUGUAAACGUUUAUUGUUGUAUUGUAGUAUUAUUAUUGCGCAUAAAAUUAAAACAGUGAAUACAAGUAAAACACAA